UGUAAAAUGGAGAUGAUAGCACACA
rnacentral:piRNA from 2 species